rnacentral:misc_RNA from 1 species
GAUGAAGAACGUAGCGAGAUGCGAUAAGUAAUGUGAAUUGCAGAAUUCAGUGAAUCAUCGAAUCUUUGAACGCACAUUGCGCCCGCCAGUAUUCUGGCGGGCAUGCCUGUCUGAGCGUCAUUUCAACCCUCAUGCCCCUAGGGCGUGGUGUUGGGGAUCGGCCAAAGCCCGCGAGGGACGGCCGGCCCCUAAAUCUAGUGGCGGACCCGUCGUGGCCUCCUCUGCGAAGUAGUGAUAUUCCGCAUCGGAGAGCGAUGAGCCCCUGCCGUUAAACCCCCAACUUUCCAAGGUUGACCUCAGAUCAGGUAGGAAUACCCGCUGAACUUAAGCAUAUCAAUAAGCGGAGGA